GCCACCUUAGCUCAGUUGGCAGAGCAAUGCACUCGUAACGCAUAGGUCGCCGGUUCGAUUCCGGCAGGUGGCU
rnacentral:tRNA from 2 species